AGCGGAGCUGCAGCCGCGCCCCACCCCCAGCCCCCGCACGCUCCCCCUCCCGCCCUCCUCCCUCUGGGGGCGGUCCUGCGUGCCGGCUGCUGGCGUCACUUCCGGCCAGUUCGGAAUGCGAUAAAAGGCUCGGGUUUGCGCCCUUUUCAGAUUCCCACUCCAUGAAACUCUAGUUAUUUUUCCUCCAACUCCGUUAUCUGUACAUCCAUUGUAUCGCUGCUGGAUAAUAUGAAAUGGACUCUCUUGCGUUGGCAUUCAGUAGCGUUGCGGCAGAACUAGUGUUUCUACGACUUUAGGGUUCGUAGCAAGGGAGUCGUAGCGUGCAACAGCCACAGUUUGGAUGCAAAACGAAAGUAGGGAGUGUGUGUCAAGACUUUCACAAUUGGUGAAUAUUGCUUGAAGUCGCAGAAGAGGAGAAACUACCUGUUUGGAAGUGUGAUGCAAACUUUGUUGAAAUGUAUUCACUGCGAGUGUAGAAAAAUUCUGCAGUGUUAUGCAGCCCAUCUUAAAGAACUUGGUUUUCCACAUAGUUCUUGGGUUACCUGGGGGGGGGUGGAGGGAGGGGAGGCUUUUAGACAUCAGUACUAAGCUCCUACUCCCAAACCAGUGCUAUUGAAUCCUCCUGAAACCCCAGUAGAGACUUUGAUUUUGAAGAGUUUCCAAGCCUUGCAAAUUGGAAGAUUGGUCUGAGGUUUCUUUUUUAUUAUUAUUAUUAUUUAUGUCUGUUUUUUAAACUAUUCCAACCAGAUUGUUCUUCCACUAGCAGGAUGACAGGAGUUUAAAAGUUAAGACUUGAUUAAUGUUCUUGUGCUUAACAACGUUGAGACACGACAUUGUCAGCAGAGGGAAUGCAGUUGGCAGCAGUUGUGAGGGUUUUCGAGAAUAUAUGAGUAGGAGAUUAAUGGAUGACACAUGGAUACAAUUAGUAAUUUAAUAUUAGUUUACAAAAUUAUGAGAUAACAGGGGUAUAAUAACAUCUUUCCUACUACCCGAA